CAUACCCUCAUGGCCGCCUCACACGCUACACUGUGUACUGGAAGGCUAUGGGCACCAGCACUGCGGGAGAAAUCAGUCGACGUGUAGAUCCUCAGUUAACCCAUGUGACCCUCCAUGAUUUAUCCCAUGUUGCUCAUAAGGUUUGGAUAACAGCAGCCACAAGGAAGGGUGAGGGACCACCAAGCAGUGUGGUGAUGGUCAAACCUUCACACUCAGUGGCAGCUGGUGUGUGGUCUGUAGGUGGGAAUGUAACAGCAGCAUGGAGGGAGGAUGAGUCUCCCAUGUGGGGCUGUGGGUAUGCCAGAACCCACCCUAGUGUGGACUCAUAAUGGGGUUGCUGUUCACACCAACAAGGACAGAGCGGUGGUGCAGCGGGAUGGAACACUCAGCCUCAGUGAUCUGCAAAGGGAUGACGGGGGUCUUUACACUUGUACCGCCACUAAUCGCCACGGUCACGACUCAGCCUUGUAUCACCUCAAUGUCUUAGUGCCACCGUCGCCACCAUCUCUACAUGUCAUAGAGACUACUACAUCCUCAGUCAGAGUACAGUGGAAUGUAGAGGACACAGGAGGUGCCACAAUACAGGGGUCAUCGUUACACUACAGGGUGGCAGGUGACCAGUGGACACAGGUUGCAGUGACAGGAGACCAGCGAACCUACACAACUCACAACUUACAGUGUGGCUCACUGCAUCACUUUUAUGUAACAGUGCACAACCAUGUUGGGAGAAGUGAGCCAUCAAAGACAGAGUCUGCACGCACCAAAGGGCGGCCUCCUCAAAGUCCUCCGAAGUUUCAGUUUGUUACAACAAACAGCUCUCAGGCAACCUUGUACCUUAGCCAAUGGAUAGAUGGUGGCUGUCCCAUCACUUACUUCAGUGUUGAGUACAGGAAAGAGUCAGUUGCCACCUGGACAACAGUUGGCACAGAGAUCCCACCUACAAGAACCUAUUCCUUGGGUGGCCUUGAGCCAGGCAAUCGCUACAUGCUGAGGGUCACUGCCCAUAACACUGCUGGGUUUGCUCCUGCUGAGUAUAGCAUCACUACACCCUCCCUUGGCCACUCUGUUGCUGCUGACUCUGGUGUCAGUGUGUGGGGUGGAGCACCAUCCACUUCCUCAGCAUGGCAAGAACUACGAGUAGUGGUGCCAGCGGCUGUCUCUACCCUCACCUUGCUUCUGACUCUCACCACAGUCUUUGUCUGUCUAAGGAAAAGAUCCCCAGCCAGAACAAAUCAAAAGGGAUCUCCUGAAAAUAUGAUUGGCACCACAGAGAAGAUUGGUCCUCAGGAGGAACUGUACACAACUGUGAGGCGACCAGCACCUUCACCACCUCAACAGCAGCAACAACAACAGCCACAGCAACAAGAAUCAAGGGAUGCUCAGGGUGAUUAUCCCCGAGAUGAGUUGUAUCACUAUGCUGCAGCAACAUAUCGGGUGGGCAAUGGUACCCCACCUCCUCCUGCACCUCCCUCGCCGCCAACACAUGCCCACCGCCCGCUCUCCAGAGGGCAGAAAGCAUUCACAGCUCUUGUCUACCAAGCACCUUCUCUCCAUGAUGUUGAUUGCCCCAACCUGUUUGUUGUGCUGUACAGCAGGCUGAGGGUGAAGGACGUGUGCCAUGGCCCAGGGUCUCGCCACCCCAUGGGCCUGCAGGGGUGGCAGACUCCCAAAGUGAAGGAUAUGGUAGCCUCAUGAGUCCCAGAGGCCCUUCUCCCCCUGCCUCUGGGGCUCCGCACCAACGCCAUCCUGCCAAGCAUCCCAGGGGCCCCAGAGCCUGCGUGCGGAAUGUGCGCUUCCCAUAGUUGUUCCAUGGUCUUGCCUCCCAGGUA
rnacentral:misc_RNA from 1 species